AUCAAGAACCGUCCCUGUAAGGUAAUCAAUCUCUUGAUCUCUUUUAUCUGCGGAUUGGGUAGAUCUGUAUCUCUGUCUUUUUAUUUAUUUGAUCUGCUGUUUUCUUAGAUCCUCAUGUAUUUAUCGGAAUAUUGGAUCCGAACUUUUUUAAUUUAUAUCAUGCUGGUGAAUUAAAGCUUGUCAAUUUUGUGGAGGGUGUUUGGUGAGAAUAAAGAUAUAGUGUACACAGAUCUUUUGACUCCUUUAAUUUGAUUGUAAUUUAGUAGUAUAUGCGUGAUCUCAAUAGUUUAGAAUCUUGUUUAUGUAAUAUUUUGGAGAUAAUUUGUUGCUUGGCUAAUAAAAUUGGAUUAUAAGUUUUUGUGUGGAUUUGUUGGAUAAUUGAUUCACACUUAUUUAUUCUAAAUUCCGUGUUGUUCUGAAAUCCUGUACUUUUGUUGCUGAUGAGUGAUCCAUAUUUAUUCCUGAUUCCGUGGUGUUCAAGAAGUUAGGAAUUUAAAUAAUAUUAUAAAUAAAUCGGAUUAUGUUGCUCGCUAUAAUAUGUACAAUGUAAAAUUACAAAUAAAGAACUCUAGAUGCCCUUGUAUCAGUAACUCAUCGUAUUUAUCUAAUUCUUUUUGGUGGGGACACUUGGUUAUUAAAUGGGAGCUAAAUGACUGUCAGGUCCCUGGUCCUAUUUUUUUUAAAACCCCAUUAGAACGUGACUUAUUUUGUAAAGUCACUCUGUUAAGGAACACUUGUUUUAACCUCGUAAAUUUAUGGUUUUUACUAUUCAUAUUAUUUAGACGAUAGGGACGUUUAAUUGAGUUUUUUUGAAAAAAGUAGGGACUAAGUUAAUUUUGGCAAGAUACAAGGACUUGAUAAUAAUUUACCCUUAAAUGUGAAGCUACAAACUAGGAAUUCAUAUGGUGCGGAUUAUGAUAACUACAAUUCUAGGUUCUUUGUGUUGGAAUGUCUUUUUUUUAUUAUUCAAGUCUUUGCUUGUUUGCUUUUUUCUUCUUAAAUAUUAUCUGUUUUGCUUGUUUGGUUUCUUCUCAGUUUGUUUCUUAACAAGUAACUGUACUUUGUGUCACAGGUUGUUGAGGUCUCAA
rnacentral:misc_RNA from 1 species